AGUAGGGGAAAUUGACAUAUUAUUCAACAAACACACAUAAUUACUUAGGGGUUAUCUCUGAAAUUAGUAUUUUACUUGUAUAAUUACAUUUCCACUCUAAUUAAAACCAUAUAAGCCGUGCUUACAUCACAGUCCCGGAGCUUUUGCGAAGAACCUGGAUUCCAAAAGGAGUGGUCUGAAUCCUGACAUCAUACAGGCAGUUCUUGAGGGAGUCAACUGGUGAGGGAGGUGUGUUCAGAGGUACUGGGACCUCAUACCUUUUAUUAGUGGAAUCAUAGAUCUGCCAAAGAGAUAGAAGGAAACUCUUUCUGAUAGAGCAUCAGACCCAAAACUUCUCACACCAGUCCCUAUAAUCAGUUCCUAUUUUUUUGGACUAGUUUAAAGCACAACAGGAGGCAUCAAAAAUCCCUAAGCCUCAGCUUCUGCAUAUGCAAAUGAAGGGAUUUGAACUAAAAGUCUUUCAUUGAUUUCCAUCUGUACAGAGCUGUAGCAGUGAGGUAGGAACUCCAUUCUGAGAAUCAGAGCCUGCAGUUUGGGAAUUACCUUGACCUGCAGCAUGUUCUCUGUGUGGUAGACCACACUCAGUUUGAGGGAACUGAUCUCUACAGAAAGAGGACCAGAGACAACAGAGGCUGCUGCUGGUGACAGUGGAGCUGCUGCAACUUGUGCAGAUGUCGGGGUCACUAGGAAGAUCAGAGAGUCCAUGGAUGAAACUGAGAAAACCGGCCAUCCAUAUGCAGAAGAUUGAAUCUAGACCCAUAUAUCUCACCGUGUACUAAACUAAAAUCAAAAUGCA
rnacentral:lncRNA from 1 species